UACGGGGGGGGUGAGCGUUGUUCGGAAUUACUGGGCGUAAAGGGCUCGUAGGCGGCCAACUAAGUCGGACGUGAAAUCCCUCAGCUUAACUGGGGAACUGCAUCCGAUACUGGAUGGCUUGGAUUUGGGAGAGGGAUGCGGAAUUCCAGGUGUAGCGGUGAAAUGCGUAGAUAUCUGGAGGAACACCGGUGGCGAAGGCGGCAUCCUGGACCAAUAUUGACGCUGAGGAGCGAAAGCCAGGGGAGCAAACGGG
rnacentral:rRNA from 1 species